rnacentral:lncRNA from 1 species
GAUUCUGUUAGCUGCCCCCUCAGUGAUCUGUGGGCGCUGUGCUUGCCUUCAUCAUAACUGCUGCCCCCUCCAUUGGAAUUGCCUCAUUUCUGUGACCCCCUGAAUCACCCCAGAUGAGAAACAACUUGAGGACAAGAACUGUGUCUUGUUCAUUCCGUACAGAGCACUUAGCAUGUGGAUUCCCCGGGAGAAGAGUGAUGUGGAAGCAAGAGGGCAGAGGACUCAUCAGUUACAGGUGAGAAAGACUGACCUACAUCGAGGCAGGGGGAUGAAUGGCCUUCCCUCCCCUGCCGCCCCGUGGUGUAAUAUAUCCGCUCAUCCAAGACUCGAUUUUAACCACAGACAACAAGAGGCCACAUUUCUACACUACAGAAGGUUGUUAAAAUUCCUGGAACAGAGACACUUUUUAAGAGACAAGAUUCGUGACGGUCUUUUCACAAGGAAGGAGAAGAUUUAUGGCAGGCAAAGGUUCUGAUGUGUGCUGUGUCCGGUGCCUUCCCUCCUCAGGAUGGGCAGGAGGCGCGACACCAUGGGCGUCUGGCUGGGUGAUCUCUUGAGGCAGCUCUGGUUUCCUUUGUUCAGGCUGCUUCAAGCCCGGAAAGGCCAGAAUAAAGUCGCCCUGAGCGGCA